UACAGAGGUCUCAAGCGUUGUUCGGAUUCAUUGGGCGUAAAGGGUGCGUAGGCGGCGCGGUAAGUCGGGUGUGAAAUCUCGGGGCUUAACUCCGAAACUGCAUUCGAUACUGCCGUGCUUGAGGACUGGAGAGGAGACUGGAAUUCCUGGUGUAGCGGUGGAAUGCGCAGAUAUCAGGAGGAACACCGGUGGCGAAGGCGGGUCUCUGGGCAGUAACUGACGCUGAGGAGCGAAAGCGUGGGGAGCGAACAGG
rnacentral:rRNA from 1 species